UACGUAGGGUGCGAGCGUUAAUCGGAAUUACUGGGCGUAAAGCGUGCGCAGGCGGCUUUGCAAGACAGAUGUGAAAUCCCCGGGCUCAACCUGGGAACUGCAUUUGUGACUGCAAGGCUAGAGUACGGUAGAGGGGGAUGGAAUUCCGCGUGUAGCAGUGAAAUGCGUAGAUAUGCGGAGGAACACCGAUGGCGAAGGCAAUCCCCUGGACCUGUACUGACGCUCAUGCACGAAAGCCAGGGGAGCAAACGGG
rnacentral:rRNA from 1 species